CUGCAGUUUAUUAAGCCGACCAGUCUUGUUUUCUGUACUUCUCUGGUGUGCAAAGGCUGCAGACAGUAAUUCUUUGGUUGUGUAUGAGCCUGGCUGGGAGGUGCUGGGCCCUUUAAGGGACCAUUGAAACAGAU